CAAAAACAAAAACAAAACAACUCAGCUUCUUGUUGCUUUCCUGGCUACUAGAGCAAUAGACAGGGAAAGUCUGAGUGCUCAACUUUGCUCCCUCCAGCUAGAUGCUAGGAAGGGGGUUGAAAACACUGGCUAAAGUUUUGUUUGUAGAUUAUUGAUAUUUUCUUCUCUCUGCCCUUGACCUUGUUUCUGCUAACAUGUAAAUUUGUUUCUAUAGUCUUGGAGUAGCACUUACCCUUUGAUAACACCAGGAUUAUAUCCCCUUCCUGAAACUCCAGGUCCUCUGGUUGGGUAGCCUCAUAACUGAAGAGUGCCUCCACUUGGCUGCCUUUCUUAAGCUGAGGUUCUGUUGUCUGGUUAUUAGCAUCAGCUUUUUCACUUUCCUUGGGUUCAUCUGGAAAGCCUUGGUCACCCACUGUGUUCUCACACCACAGAGUCAGGCAGUAGUUUUUCACCUGGCCCCAGGCAUCCUUCAUGCUGUCUUCUGAAAGGGGCACCAGCUCAUUGCUGUCCCGAGGCCGAUAGCUCAGCUUAGUGUGUUCCAGCCGGAGCUCCAGUUUCUUAGACACCAUGUCCCGGACCUGGCUGUAGGGGAGCCCGGGCUGAGUCUUCAUGACUACCGUGUACUUGUAGUGCACCUUGAGUGUGUAGGGCAUGGGAACACUGAGCUUCACUUCCUGAGUGGGGAGGAAACAAAGGGAACUCCUGAGUGUCUGAGGCUUUCUCUCAACAUCCUGGAUCACCGCAGUUUCGUGAUUUGGCACAGGGGGUACCCAAUACAGCAGGGGAGAGGCCAGUAAGUAACUGGUUUCACAGUAGCCUAAAAGGCCUUCAGAGGUCCUUUAGCCCAACCCUUGCUUGGACAGGAAUUCCUACUGAGUAAGAUCUGGCCCACUAGCUUGGGUAGUAGGAAGUGUGUGCAUGAUAGUGGAGGAGGCUAUUAAGAAGGUCCCUAGCUCAUGGACUCUGUAAGGUAGCAACUGGUUCGACCCUCCCUUUGGGGCUCUUCCUAUAAUCCAGACAGACAUGUCUGUGGUUGAUAGCCCAAGCUAUCCCAUCUUCUACCACUUGAAACAGUAUGAGGGAAAAAUGUUACCUUAGGCUCUUCUUUUUGUUUCUGGCCUGAAUGGAAAAAGUAGGGAGUAAAACAAAAGAAGAUGGUGAAUGAACAUCCUUGGCCAGCCCCUGCCACACACAGAUGAAACCUCUUCAAAUAGGGCCCCCAACCUCUUACCCUUUAAUUUGUGGGGCAAUUAUUAACCUUAGUAAACUGUGGGGAAAAUCUCGCCCUGGGGAAGCAUGAAGGUCAUGAACACAUGAACAAACUCAGUCUCUGCUUCUAGGGAGCCUAUAGGUAAUUACCAAAGGACCAGCAUAUCCUCACCAACCCACAAGGUUAGCAGGGAUCCCAAAGGUCAAUUAAGCCCACGGGAUCCAAAGCAAUGAAAAUCGGAGUGCAAGGUGAGCCAGAGGCCACAGGAAGAAGUAUUAGAACCACUGAUCCUCACCUUAUUCUUUAUUUUUGUGUAUGUUUCCUAAAGUUUAUUAAUUUAAUCUAAUCUAUUAAUCAAGCAAUCUAAUAUUAAUCUAAUUUAUGUAAGAGUAGCAUGCAUAAAGAUAUUUACUAUAGGGGGUACAUGAUCAGAGAAGGCCACUGAUCUCAAACCUAGCUGAUCAUUAGAAUCACAUGGGAAGUUUUUUUCUAAAAUACAAAUUCCCGAGCCCCAUUCCAGUCCUAAAAUAUCAGAGCCAGUAGCCUAGGACUCUGUAUUCACAAAAUCAUCCUAGGUUUAUAUGUGAUCCUUGAUGAGCCUCUAGACAAAAGAUAACAACAAAAAACCUGUCAAGGACAUUGAGCAGGAGCAACGGGAGAAAUUUGAAUAUGGAAUAUACAUUAUAUAAUACUAUCAUAUGAAUGUUUAGUGUCCUAGAUACCAUGAUUCUAUUGUGAUUAUGCAGGAGACUGCGUUUUUGCAGCUGUGUAGGGUGAAGUGUCACGAGUCUGUAACUUUUCAACUGGCUCGGGGGAGAAAAAUAGAAUGGAGCAGGGCGAGUUCAUGGUGCAAAAUGUUAACAAUUGGUGAGUUUAAGUGAAAGAUAUUCUGAUGUUUAUUGUAUUCUACUGUCAGCUUUUCUGUAGGUUGGACAUUUUUCAAAAUAAAAAUGGGGGAAGGGACAUCCCGAGUGAUUCUGAUGAUCAGGCGCGUGUGGCAAUCAUUGAUCUAGAAUCUGGCCAACCACUCACUCUGCGUCUCUACCAAGCGCUUAUCCAGAAUCUGCUUCAAGUGCACUUCCCAAGACAGCCCUCUCCACACUAGGAAACAGCCUUUCAGAGAGAACAUUUCCAUUUCACAUCUGCCCAUUGGUUCUUUGUUCAUCCUCAGGGCUCCACAGAGCAAUUUCUUUUCCAGAUACAGUGCCUCAGACAUUUGAAAACAGCCACUCCAUGCCCCUCAGAGAUAAGCAGGUAUAGUUACUUCAACUUUUCUUCCUGAGACAUCGUUUCCCUACCUAAUGAUCAAGGGGUUUGGUGACUACGUGAGUCACUCAGGAACCAGCUGCAUUCACCCAAGCCCCGUGAGUGUUCUGCAGAAGGCAGGGAGAGAGGGCACUGAUUUCAUGUUUGGGGUGGGUGGUGCAGGAAAGGGGGAUUCUGGGGCUGCGUGGUCAUUAGCUGAGUGACAUGUUGGGAGAAGAAGAAACCAGAAUUUCCUGGAAGGCAGGGAGAGGAACUCAGGAAGCAGCCUGGCAUGCUGCUGCACCCAGACCUAGGCUGUGGCUCCAGGACCACUCACCUGGUGACAGCUGGGGUCUUCCAGGGGCUUUGGAACUAGGAGGAGCUGGGAUGUCGGACUGCGGAGAGCUUUCCUCCUGGGGCUGCUGCUGAGGGUGGAUCCGCAGCUCAACUGGUUCAAGGUAGUUGCAGGGAACAAGCCCCUUCUGCCCGUUGAACAUGACCGUGGCCCAGUUAUCAUUGCCCUUCUUCAAGACAAAGACAAUGUUCCCUGGCAUGACCUGGAGCUCUUCUUUUGUCUCAGGCACAAACCCAAAUAGCACACGGUGAGCCUCCCCUUCCAGAGCCCUGCAGAGGAUAGACACAAGAUCCAGCCCCCAUCCCCUCACAUGAUGCCAUGGCGCAAAUACACUGAACUUGGAGCCAGGGACUUGGCUCCAGCCUGGCUCUAACUCCACAUCUAACUGCAACUGCCGAGAUGACACUGAGCCUGCCUGGGCUCCCAAGAGGUCUCAGCAAGAAACUGGUGUACACCUGCUCAUAACCAUAUAUGCAGAGGGGCAAGAAUAAAGCAAAAACCCCACAACACUAGAUAGUGAGGACUUACAAUCCUUGCCCUCCCUUCUGCUCUGAGGAGGAAGGUCCCUGGCUGUGUCAUCUUGGCCAGCACCCAAGGCUGGGCUGGGGUGGGGUGGAUCAGGUGACUGUGGUCAGGGGAACAGCACAAAGCAGAAGUCAGGUGAGAGCCAGCUGGGCCAGAAAGAUUGGUGGGAGAGGAGGAAGGAGAAACCACCUAGAACCAGUGUUGGGCCAGGAUAGAGAGACCGUGAGCAGGGUAGGUGACAGGGAGCGUGAGGGAUGCACAUAGAGGGCUCUGAGGCUGCCCAGCUGCCGUGGUGCAGUGUCGGUUCCCUUAAGUCUGACUUCAUGCUUUUAGGCUUUGAGGCUCUGAUUGGCAUCACUUUGGAACGUGUGACUGAGAGGCUGGUGUUCAGGUUUCAGGCUUCCCUCCCUUUACUCCCCACUCUGUUACUUUCCCCUCGGCCCAUCCUUGUUUCCAGACAUCGUGCCUACUCCUGUAGGGAAUACAGGCCCUUCCAGCUGACAGGGAGCUUAGGAAUGAGCUCAUCCAGCCCCCUCAUUUUUGUAGUUGCUUUGGUACUUUUGUCACUUUUUUUUUUUUGAGACGGAAUCUUGGUCUGUUGCCCAG
rnacentral:lncRNA from 1 species